rnacentral:rRNA from 1 species
AGUGAACGCUGGCGGUAGGCCUAACACAUGCAAGUCGAACGGCAGCACAGUAAGAGCUUGCUCUUACGGGUGGCGAGUGGCGGACGGGUGAGGAAUACAUCGGAAUCUACUUUUUCGUGGGGGAUAACGUAGGGAAACUUACGCUAAUACCGCAUACGACCUACGGGUGAAAGCAGGGGAUCUUCGGACCUUGCGCGAUUGAAUGCGCCGAUGUCGGAUUAGAUAGUUGGCGGGGUAAAGGCCCACCAAGGCGACGAUCCGUAGCUGGUCUGAGAGGAUGAUAAGCCACAUUGGAACUGAGACACGGUCCAGACGCCUACGGGAGGCAGCAGUGGGGAAUAUUGGACAAUGGGCGCAAGCCUGAUCCAGCCAUACCGCGUGGGUGAAGAAGGCCUUCGGGUUGUAAAGCCCUUUUGUUGGGAAAGAAAAGCAGCAGGUUAAUACCCCGCUGUUCUGACGGUACCCAAAGAAUAAGCACCGGCUAACUUCGUG